AAAUGGUACUGAGGUGACUGUCAAAGCCCGUGGGCCUCUUGUUAAUUUGACCAAAAUGUCUAUUGCAGGAUUUUUAUUUGUAAUAAUGAGAUUCGUUGUGCGAAAAUUUUAAGUGUUUGUGCGAAUAAACACUUCUUAGCCUCCAUGAAUUGUAAUUUAAAGCGACAGAUUUUCUUAAAUGGUCGGGUUCGUUGUACGAAAGAAAAGCAAGACUGUCGUCUGAACUGAGCUGUGAGGAAGCCUUGCAAAGCUGAAAUGUCGUCCUGUUGAACUUGUGAAGAAACUUGUGAAUAACAAAAACAUUUCAUGGUAGAAGGAAACGUUGUCUUGACAACCAAACAUUGAAAGCUGAUCAGUAUGGCAGUCUUUGAGUUUGCUGGGAUUAUUCAUGGUUUGUGCCCAUUGAACAGUGGAAGGUCUUUUCUGUACCACCAGUGUCCAUCAUUUACUGUGACAGGUGUGAUCCCAAUCUAAAGACCCGCGAACAAGAAGAGAAUUAAGCUGGAAGGAACAUUAAAUUUUGGUGAUGCUGAUCUCUUUUGAUGGAGUCCAUUAAUUGAUAUCAACUGGAUUUUAAUUCAGGACCAAAAGUGGGGUUCGGAAUUCUUCAGUAGAAUUUACAUGGAAGAACCUUUUUAGGUGAUUGAGUAAUGAAGACUGUGGGCAUUUUGUGUUGUUGCUCCCCGAAACCAAUCUGCUUUUUCUGACCAUCGGGCUCCAAGCUGUACCAUUAAUGGAGAAUAGAUUUAGGUAAUAGAACAGCGUCGGGUAAGUGAGAUUCCUUACUUUUUGUUUCAUUCUUUGAAUAUUAUAAGGUGAUAAAAUAUGGUCAAGCGUGAUCAAAUAUAUCAUGUAGUCCGAUAGGAUAUAUUGGAUUUGAUCACCCUUACCAUAGUUAUCAAUUGAUCACCUCAUAAUACCCAAAGAAUGAUUCCUUAAAUCUAAUCUUAAAAGCAUAAAGCCAAAAAAAACCAAACCUCUUUGCCAUGAUUUUGUUUACUACAUGGGAAGCCUAGGAUGUUUAGGAUUGCUUAUCAAAAAGAAAUACUUCUAAACUCCAUGUACCAGUAAGGAGUUUGGGAAUGGGGAUUUCAUUUUUUAAUUGUUGUUAAAAAUUAUGUUUUUAAAACUAUUUGACUCUAUUGGUUAAGUUUUACAGUGUUGCUUGGGUUAGCGAUGAGGCCCAAGGACCUCUUGUGUAAUUACUCUCUCUUUUUCAUAUCUUGCACUAUUUUCAGACACUUAAGGAGACAAAUAAAAUCAAAACAUCCUGUGAAACUGAUGGAAUUAAGAAAUUCUACAAGGAUGAAGUGAAGAAUUCAGUAGAACUUUCUGAAGGGUCAAGAGGUCAACUGACGGCUUGUCACAUGGAGCAUAUAACCUGAUCAUUAGUUGUCCCUCGUUGGAAUACCAGGCGUACAGUGUGAUAUAUUGACAUCCGUGUCUCUGGCAUCUAGAGUCUUCAUACUCAGGACCAGGCUGAAGGGGAUUGUUCUUAGCUGACCUUUAUCGACAGACAUAUCUGUACACCAAAACAAAGUGAAUUUAAAAAGAAAUUUAAAAAUCUGAUCUACUCCAUAAAUGAAAGGAAACCAUCAUCAUCGGAACAAAAAAAAAUUUUCAGAGGAAUAUUAAAACAACGUGUUCCCAUGACAUUUUGCGUGUUUACGAAAUACAUGUAUUACAGGUGACUGUGUAAAUAUAUUAUACCUGUCAAAUGAGUCACGGAUUGAUUAAAUGUGAAGAGUUUUCAAUUUGUAUCAACAUUGGUGACCAUAUAAAUGAAUAAAAAUUA